AUUGAACGCUGGCGGCAGGCCUAACACAUGCAAGUCGAGCGAGCGGCGGACGGGUGAGUAAUGUAUGGGGACUGCCCGUUAGAGGGGGAUAACUACUGGAAACGGUGGCUAAUACCGCAUACUAUCGGAUAAUCCAUAUGGGAUUAGCUAGUAGGUGGGGUAAAGGCUCACCUAGGCGGCGGUCUCUAGCUGGUCUGAGAGGAUGGUCAGCCACACUGGGACUGAGACACAGCCCGGACUCCUACGGAGGCAGCAGUGGGAAAUAUUACAGAAUGGGAGCGAGCCUAAUGCAGCCAUGCCGCGUGUAUGAAGAAGGCCUUAGGGUUGUAAAGUACUUUCAGCGGGGAGGGGUUACCAGCAGAAGAAGCACCGGCUAACUCCGUGCCAGCAGCCGCGGUAAUAC
rnacentral:rRNA from 1 species